UGACUGGAGGCCCAAUAAGUGUCAGGAACUGGACAAAUCUUUACAUGAUGUCUUCUCAAUAAUGUUGCAAGGUAGGAACAUUCACUUUGGAUUGAAAACAUGAGAAAACUGAGGCACAAGGGCAUUCAGAAAUGUGUAAAGCCAAGUAACCAGUCAACACUGAUACUCAGUCUCAACUGGCGAAAGCCACUCCGUGAUUCUGGCAAAGCCACACCUGCCAUGAAUGCAGUGUCAGGUCCUUAGUAGGUGCUAUGCACUACUAAACCAUACUCGUUUGUUAUUUCAUGAAUGGACAGAAAAACACAUGUAUGAAUGAAUGGCUAAUGCCAAAUGUGUAUGGAGAGAUGGGUGUAGAAGGAGCAGAGAACCAAUGAAGUCAAUGAUAAUAGAUUGGCUAAAAAACAGGUUGAAUUCCCUGGUCCAGUGGUUCAGCUGCUUCAUCACAGGGCAACCUUACCAGGCACUGAGUAGGUUAAAGCCUGGCUCAGUGCCAAGUAUGAAACUGAGGCUGCUGGCCCCUUUCUUGCCCUUUCCCAUGACACCCUGGGCAGGUCUGGAAAGAGAAGUGACCACUCACUCAGUACUUUGCACCACAGGGAAGGAUCCCAUCCGUACAUAAGAACUCUGCACGCCAUUCUCUCUCUUCCCCAAGAUUUCCUUCACACUGAACAAAUCCAUCAGGUCAAAACCUGUUCAAAGAGAAGAGCUGGGAGUGAGUUUGGAGAUGGAAGAGUAUAAAGGACAAAGAAAAAUCACAUCUGCUCUCUGCAAAGGCAGCCUGCCCCUCCUGCCCCAGGAGAACAGAUCGGGAGGGGAUUGUUCAAAUACAUAUUCAGGGAGAAAACAUAAGCACCGGAGUAAUGAGAUGUACAGCUUCGGCUUCAACUCCAGGAAAAAGGUGCAGAAGAACACAGACACUGGCUUUCUCAAGAAAAUGUGUGUGCAUGUGGUUAAGUGUGAGACAAACGGAGGGUGUCCUGGUUGUGUGAGUGCCGCAGGGCCCUGGUGUUCACGAAGCCCAGAUGUGUGCUCUUCGCUCACGCAGGCUGGCCCUGCAGGCAAACGGCCACCGGGCUUUCCCUUCUGCAGCCGUAUUUUUGCCUUGCAUUUGGACUUUACUUGGGUGGUAGUUUGGCAGCUUUUAAGUUUCAUGAUUUUUAAAGAGAGAAACAUCAGAGAGGAAUAAACUGUCUUCAUGAGACUGCAUUACUUGAAAGGAUUUUGUUUUGUUUUUCCUUAAUUCAGUUUAAUUUUCCUCUAAGAGGGGACCUUAUAUGCAUUGUCAAUGUAAAGUAACAGAAAAAUCAGGGGCUUUGGACUUGGGUGAGGGUCAAGGGUAAGGGAUGGGGGUUUGAUCCUGAGCGGCCAUGUGUAUGUGACACUGGGCAAGUCACAUGACCCACAGGAGUCUCGCAUACUUCACCGUGGAAGGACAGCAAUGAUGCCUACUGGGUAGGGCUCUGUGACAAUUGCGUAAGACCCUAAAUAUGCGUACUCAGCAUAUGGUGAGAAAUUCAUACAGUGGGUUUCUUUUUACGAGUUAUUUCCCACAACCACCAGCACAUGCUCGUCCACAUUCCCCCACAGUGGGAUGCUUUCUGCAGACCAGGUUCUCAGAGGGGCCUGAGGACAACACUUGUUCUGGAGGCUAACAUUGUGACUCAACACCCGCCUGAAACUGUCUCUCUCAGACACUGGCAAAAGCUCUCAGCAGGUUACAGGGAAGCCGGCUGAAGGCAGGCACCAGGCUGAACCCAUCUGUGCACCCCCAGGGAUAAUAAACUUCUCAGUAUUGGCACCUAACCUAUGAGACUUUAGGAAGAGUUCCUCACUGUUUCCAGUAUUCUAAGGCACCACUGAAAAAAAAGAAAAAAGAAAAAAAAAAA
rnacentral:lncRNA from 1 species